GUCCAGGGGUGGGAAUCGAACCCACAGUGUUCCGCUUACCGGGCAGAUGCCAUGUCCACUAGGCUACCCUGGA
rnacentral:tRNA from 1 species